CCUAGGGGAGGCAGCAGUGAGGAAUAUUGGUCAAUGGACGGAAGUCUGAACCAGCCAAGUAGCGUGCAGGAUGACGGCCCUAUGGGUUGUAAACUGCUUUUAUGCGGGGGUAAAGUGAGUGACGUGUCAUUCAUUGCAAGUACCGCAAGGAUAAGGACCGGCUAAUUCCGUGCCAGCAGCCGCGGUAAU
rnacentral:rRNA from 1 species